UCAAAAGACACAUAUGGGAAAGUGAAGGAAUGGGUAAACAUAACUUACAAGCUCUGUAAAAAUGGAAGCCAAACUGGCUUUCUCUUCUUCUCUCAGUACCCAAAUACCUGCGCUGCCCAAUUUAUCACCAUUAUGUCCCUUUAACUUAUAGUCUUGGUUCACCAAAGAAAAGGGUUCAUCAUUUUAGAGUACAUGCACUUGGUGGAGGAGAUGGAGAACUCAAGCCAGAAGCGAAGAAGAAAUUUAUAACCAAAGAAGAAGAACCUAAACAAUAUUGGCAAACAGCAGGAGAGAGGGAAGGAGAGAAUCCCAUGAAGACGCCUCUUCCUUACAUCAUCAUAUUUGGCAUGUCAACUCCAUUUGCGAUCUUAGCCAUUGCUUUGGCUAAUGGUUGGAUUAAAGUACCAGUUAGAUGAUUUGUUUAGAGAUGCAGCAACAAUGGCAGCUAAAUGACAGUGUUGGAUUUGUUCUGUUUAUCCACUCAUUUCAGUUCUUAAGAUAUAAGCAUAUAUUUGUACACUAAUUAUGAAUGCUCAUUUUAUGCAUUCCCCAAGCAAAUUACAAUUCAAUGACAAUCAAAUCAUGAACUUUCUGUAACAAGUCACUAAGUAUGCCAAAUAUGAGCAGAUCACUCUGAAAUUUGUUUACUUCAA